AUUAAACGCUGGCGGCAUGCCUUACACAUGCAAGUCGAACGGCAGCACGGGGGCAACCCUGGUGGCGAGUGGCGGACGGGUGAGUAACACAUCGGAACGUGCCCUGGAGUGGGGGAUAACGCAGCGAAAGCUACGCUAAUACCGCAUAUUCUGUGAGCAGGAAAGCAGGGGGAUCGCAAGACCUUGCGCUUUGGGAGCGGCCGAUGUCGGAUUAGCUAGUUGGUGGGGUAAAGGCUUACCAAGGCGACGAUCCGUAGCGGGUCUGAGAGGAUGAUCCGCCACACUGGGACUGAGACACGGCCCAGACUCCUACGGGAGGCAGCAGUGGGGAAUUUUGGACAAUGGGCGGAAGCCUGAUCCAGCCAUGCCGCGUGAGUGAAGAAGGCCUCGGUGUAAG
rnacentral:rRNA from 1 species